CUUCCAGAUGCCAUUGUCCAAUGACGAUAUUGCUUAACUAGUUUAGCUCGUUGACAAUCUCUCACAAGGUAUCUAAUCAGAAAAAAACUUAAUUUGAAGCGAAACUAAGUUGUAUCUCAUGCCUUUAUUUAUGUAGUUUUUCUUAAAAAAAGAAAACCACAUCUCUAGGUUCUUCGCGGAUUGUCCUUGGAAAAUGUUCGAAUAAUCAUAUUUCGCCAAAAUAUCUCGGUUCUAACAAAAAUCUUCAAGUGUU
rnacentral:lncRNA from 1 species